rnacentral:tRNA from 1 species
AGUAAGGUCAGCUAAAUUAAGCUAUCGGGCCCAUACCCCGAAAAUGUUGGUUUA